rnacentral:rRNA from 1 species
GACGAACGCUGGCGGCGUGCUUAACACAUGCAAGUCGAACGGAAAGGCCCUGCUUUCGUGGGGUGCUCGAGUGGCGAACGGGUGUGUAACAUGUGAGUAUCCUGCCCUUGACUUUGGGACAACUUCAGGAAACUGGGGCUAACACCGGAUAGGAGCUCCUGCUGCUGGGUGGGGGUUGGAAAGUUUCGGCGGUUGGGGAUGGACUCGGGGCUUACUAGCUUGUUGGUGGGGUAGCGGCUUACCCAGGGUUUGACGGGUAGUCGGCCUGGGAGGGUGACCAGGGACAAGAGGCCUGCGAUACGGCCCAGACUCCAACGGGAGGCAACGGUCGGGAGUAUGGCACAGCGGGCGGGAGCCUGAUGCAGAGACCCCCGGUGCGUGAUGCCGGCCUUCGGGUUGUAAACCGCUUUCACCUAUGACGAAGCGUGAGUGACGGUAAUGGGUGAAGAAGCACCGGCUAACUACGUG